UCUAGAACAUGGUGAUGAUGGGAUGCUCAUAAAAGUUUGGGGAAAAGCCACAGAUCUUCAGGAGAGUGUAGCUUCUUUGCAUGUGAAAGAGCUGCUCUGUCCUCAGAGGGUGCCUCUUUUUAAUGAAGUGGUGGACUCAGCUCCUGUGGGCAAAUCAUCAUUGAUAAGGAGAGACAAAGAGACACACCGUAUGUGAAUUUUCAACCGUCUUCACAGAAAAGAACUUCCAUCAAUACCUUAAACAGAAGUUGACUGGAAGGAAGCCACAGCAGUAUGUUAAGAGCUUUCACUGGGGCAGGUCUGAAAGACACAACAAAAAUGUUUCAUUUGGAAAAUACCAUGAGGACCUGCUGUAGGACUGCCAAAGUAAACCGUUUCAUUCUGGAGGAGGUCGAAGUGAAACAUCUGUCAGUCUAGUCAUCUUUGUGUCCUUCCACUGAAAAAUGGAGCCGAGGGGAAGGUACAGUUCAGCAAGAAAAGAAAAGGAAAUUCUCUCCCUUCUCUUAACUGUUUCUGAAAACCGAGCCAUCAUACUGAAGAGCCUGACUCGCAGACUUAGUGGGAAUUAUGCCUAAGCCAGGUAGCAAGAAAAGUUCCAUGGAAGACAACUUCCAAGUCAAACAAUUUCUGUAGGUCUGGGUUUGAAAUCCUCACCCUGGAAGUCUUAACUUCAGCCUUAACAUCAGCUAACUCAGUUUCUGGUCUUAUUAAAACAACAUGAGAAGGAAAAAAACCAGGCACCUCCCUCUCACUGCUGCAAUUGCAGAGUAUAUGGGCUUAGGAUAUGGAGAUUUUCCUCUACUCCAGUUCACUGUCUAGUUCUGAGUUCAGUGGUGUGCAGUAGUUUGGCUUGUCUGAAGCCCUGCUUAGGUCAAAUGACUGAAAAAAACUGAC
rnacentral:lncRNA from 1 species